rnacentral:rRNA from 1 species
UACAGAGGGUGCAAGCGUUGUUCGGAAUUAUUGGGCGUAAAGCGCGUGUAGGCGGCUUGGCAAGUCGGGUGUGAAAGCCCUCAGCUCAACUGAGGAAGUGCGCCCGAAACUGCUGAGCUCGAGUGCCGGAGAGGGUGGCGGAAUUCCCCAAGUAGAGGUGAAAUUCGUAGAUAUGGGGAGGAACACCGGUGGCGAAGGCGGCCUCCUGGACGGUAACUGACGCUGAGACGCGAAAGCGUGGGUAGCAAACAGG